AAUGAACGCUGGCGGCAUGCCUUACACAUGCAAGUCGAACGGCAGCAUGACCUAGCUUGCUGGUUGAUGGCGAGUGGCGAACGGGUGAGUAAUGCAUCGGAACGUGCCUUUUAGUGGGGGAUAACGUAGCGAAAGUUACGCUAAUACCGCAUAUUCUCCUGAGGAGGAAAGCAGGGGACCUUCGGGCCUUGCGCUAGAAGAGCGGCCGAUGUCGGAUUAGCUAGUUGGUGAGGUAAAGGCUCACCAAGGCAACGAUCCGUAGCGGGUCUGAGAGGAUGAUCCGCCACACUGGGACUGAGACACGGCCCAGACUCCUACGGGAGGCAGCAGUGGGGAAUUUUGGACAAUGGGCGCAAGCCUGAUCCAGCCAUGCCGCGUGAGUGAAGAAGGCCUUCGGGUUGUAAAGCUCUUUUCGGCUGGGAAGAAAUCGCACUCUCUAAUACCAGGGUGUGGAUGACGGUACCAGCAUAAGAAGCACCGCU
rnacentral:rRNA from 1 species